UUGCUAGGUUAGUAUGUAGAAAAGGGGGAAGAUGACAUGUUAUGAAUAAAUGAGGGGUUGAAAAUGAAAAAUGUGUUAUUAAAACACAUAACAAAAAAAUGCCCAGGGAAUGGAAGUGGGUGUGUGUGCGAUCGUGAGGAGAGACCAGGGGAAACCUUCCCCUCAAAACCCUAACACCUCUCAAAUCAUCAAAUUAAGAAGAAAAUUGAAGGUCAAUCGAAUGCAUGUGAUCAAUUCCUUAGUCAUCUAAGGGUUUCCCAUCAUGGGGAGCGUGAUCUUGAUGAAAAGAUAGUAUAGGAAUCAUGUCAAGACGGACUCAAGCAUAAAAGGAUAACGGGUCAAGAAAAGGCGAGGAAUCGGAUACGAGCACGGACGCAUAAGGUAAGUGAUUUCCGUAAUCACUUCUUAAUUCAAGUAAGUAAUUAAGUGUUGUGAUUAAUUAAACAUGAUGUUUGAGGUCAAAUAUGUGUUAAAGUCUUUCGUCGUAAACGAUGGAUUAAAGUUGACCAAAAUGCCCUCGAUGGGUAUUUUGGGGUAAACGAUCUUAAAAAUAGUUUAGAAACAAGUUAUUCGAUUAGUGUAAUGUUUUGGACAAGUAUGGAUGUGGGGAUGAUGGUUUGGUUAGUCAUAGACCAAUUAAUACGCGAAUACCCUUAACGGGUCAAAAUAAGUAUAUGAACGAUAAUGUGUUAAGAGGAUGUAAGACAUCCAAGAAUUUGGUAAUUUAUGAUAGACGUCACUGAUAUUAUUAUGUUUAUAAGAGGUUAUGGUAAAACAAACAGAUUAUGUUGAUUAUAGCACGAACGGGUCAAAUAAUUAGAAGAUAAUAAUAAUCCGAAUGCAGGUAAGUUAAGAAUUUCCUUAAUCCAUAUGUGGGAUUUUAAGUUCAUAUGAUAGAAUGUGAAUUUACAAGCAUGUAGGAAGAAACGUGAGGUUAAACGGACAAUCGGGUUAAAAGUUAUGCGAGUUUUUGUGGGCGUGUUGUAUCUGCACCCGGAGUAUGGAACGCCGGGUUUGGGAGUAUGGAACGCCGGGCAGAGACCUAAACGCCCAUACUUCACUGUCAAACGCUGGUUCCAUGUUAAAGUGAACGUCGGGGUGUUCCAAACAAGCCUAGAUCACUAUAAAGCUAAGUCUAAGACCCAUGUAAAUAAUGUAUGAUUAUGUAAGAGGUACACGCGAUCUAGUACGUGUUCGUUAAGGUAUGUACGAGUGUAUGCAUGUAUGUAAAGAUGUAGGAAAGGUAUGUACGUAUGUAGAUGUGUAUGUAUGUAUGUAUAAAGGUAUGUACGAGUGUAUGCAUGUAUGUAAAGAUGUAGGAAAGGUAUGUAUGUAUGUAUGUAUGUAUGUAUGUAAUUGUGUAAAUGCCCCGUACUGCGCUUUGAUGACUUAAAAGUGCAGAAAUUGGUAUAAACGGGUCAAAACAGCAAAGUAGGAAAGAUAUGCAGAAGCUACCGUAAAUUACGGUACCACCGUAAUUUACGGUGGAGGGUAAAUCUUUACGGUGGUUCUUUACUGAUUUACGGUAGAACCAUAAACGUCCAGCGCCCAUCGUAAAUUACGGUGACCACCGUAAUUUACGGUGGAGCCCAGCCAAAAUUGCCAAGUUUUGUAUAAUUUCAUAUUUUGAAUCCGUUUUAAGCGUAUACUUAAUUAUGUGAAAAUUGAAGGAUUCUAACAUUAUUAUCUUGUUAAAUUUGUAUGUAUGUAGAUGUGAAUGUAUGUUUGUAUGUAAGUACGUAUGUAAGCAUGAUUUAGACACGUUGAGUGUUAACGUUUUAAUGGUGUACCUUGAGAAUGAAAAGUAAUGCAGGUACAUUACUGAAGCCUCACCAGGAAAUGGAUACGCAGAUGAAAUGCUUAAAGUUUGAAAAAUGACGAAUAGUGAAGUGUACGUGAAUGAAUCUUGUUUAUAUAAUGUGUGCUAAUGUAUGAAUGAAUGUGGUGAGUGCAGGUUGUACGAAUCACGGAUUAACCUCACAAGGAGUAGCGAUCGAAGACCGAGUCACAAGAUAGAUUGUACGGGAAUGUUUACAUAUGUAAUUUAGUGAUGAUAAGUUAUGUUUUUAUAUUUUAAAGUGGACUUUCAAGUAAGACAAAACGUUUAUAAUGAAUGAAAUUUUAGGGUACGUAUUUCCGCUGCGACUUAUGGUCAAAUGUGAUUUAGGGUCUUACAAGUUGGUAUCAGAGCCCUGGUUUGAGCAAAUCAAGUAUGAGAAGAUAAAUACUUGAACUCAAACCUGUGUGCUCUUGUGAUAAGGAACCCGUACAAUCCACGACUCGAUCAAGAUCUAAAGGUAAGCAUAAGUGUCUGAAGAGGAUGGUUCGUGAAUGCAGGAUAGGAUGAAUACUAAGGCUGGCAAAGGUGUAAAUAAGCUAAUGAACCCCAGGUACACACUAUUAAUAUGUAUGGGUAUCAAUGUUGAAAGAAAAAGGAAGAAAUCUCCUUGGGAAGGUAAUUAUUAAACGAAAGGUAAUGAUGUGGUCUUGGGGAAAUUUUAGAAAUGUGCACGAAACUGAAACCCAUUUCUCGGACAUAAGGCGAUGAUUACACGAAGGCACGAAACUAGUAUGCAGAUUGUGCACCUGGCCAGUAUGCAAUAAGCAUAUGACGUUCGUGAGACCGUGGUAAUUAUCACAGGUGUGUCCGGUAGAACUGGGUAACAGGUGGGCGUGCGGUGAAAUGGGUAGUAAGACUCUCGGGAAAUUGAGAGUACUACGUAAGAGUGAAAAGUAUGAGUGAUAAGAAUGAAGAAUGUUGAAUCCGUAAGACAGUACGGAUCAGCAAUGUAUGAAUGAAAUGUUUGAAUCCGCGAGACGGAUUCAAAGAAUGAAAGAUGCGAAUGCAAUGUUUGAAUACGCAAGAUGGAUUCAAAACAUAGAAGGUACGAAAGGUAUGAAUAAUGUAUUCGAAUCCGCAAAACAGAUUUAAGGUAUAAAAGACGAAACUAGUCUACAUAAGAAGUGUCGAUAGUCUGACCGUGAUUUUGUCAAAUGAGUCAUAUGGGUAAAUGUAAAGUAAGGAAACAAAAGAAUGAUCGUAAUGAGCAUGCAGACCUAAGUUAUAAAACGAAAGAAGGAAGUUUUGAACAAGUUAUGUGUUAAAUGUGUUAGAAAUCGACUCUUAGAAGUCAGAAUGAAUGACGGGCUAUGACCCAGACAAUGGUUUAAGUAUGAACAAAAAGGGUAAGUUUGUUAAGAAUACUAAAACGAUGUAAUGAAUGUCUUUGUAAGUAAGCAUGAGUGGAAGGAAGCACGAAUGUGUACUUCAAUGCAUCUAUGAUAAGUGAGAAAAUUCAGUUUAACCUUAAAAGGUUAAACUGCAAAGGUUGACGAAAUAAGUAACUAAAAUGAAAGAAUUGCGUGUAAGAAAUGGAAUGUAAGAUAUGUUAUAGCAUGUACGCAGGAAAUAUGUAACAGAAUUAUAGGUGACUAAUCACCUAGUAGACUCAGUAUUUGAAUGAGAUAUGCUAACCGCCAAUUUUGUAGGUGGUGAUGUUAGAAUUCGUAGUGUGAUGAAACCAAUUGAAUUAGUGGAAGGAUGUGCACGAGCGGAAGCACGCUACGCGGAUGAAGGAAAUCUGGCCGGGUAUGGCUAGUACUCGUGAAAAGACGGAUAGAUCUGGUUUACGGACCAUUGAAAUUAUGCAACGAAAUCGAGGUUAGUAAAAUGUGUAAUUCAUGUUGGACAGGUAUGAAUUGGUAGGUUGAGAAAGACCUACGAAAUGACUGAUAGGAUAUGUAUGGUAUGGAAUGUUUAAUUUUUAACCAUUGGCAUAAGAAGAAAGUAUGUUACUAAAAAGUAAAUUUCAAAAGUUUGAGAAAUUUUGAGUAUUUAUUAAACUUUCGUAUAAUAAAUUUGCACGACAUAUUUGCUUAGGUAGAUUAAGUAAUGCAGGAAGUGAAAGUAAUAGUAAUAUGAAAUGCAUGAAACGAUUGAAGGCAACAUAAAGGUAUGCAAAGUACAAGUAACUAUGGAAAACGUAGAAUGAUGUUAACAUGAGAACUAGGCACGUAAUUUGACUAUGAAAUAGUAGUUUUGUUGUGAUAACAAAACAAUAGUAAAUAUUAUACAGUGCAUGUAGAGAAUGUAAUUUUAAGAAAUAAGGUGAAGGUAUUAGAUCCGUUACGAACGGAUCAUAUGAAUGUAUGUAUGACUACAAGUUGAAGUAGUAUGUAUAUUGACCCGUUAUUAAUAGGCCAAGGAAUUGAGAAUGUGUGUAAAGAUAAAGUAUGUAAGGUAUGGACUUGUUAGAAAGAAGUCAAUUGUAUGAAUAGUCAUGAAGCGGGAAUAGGUAGUUACUUAGUCUUACGAUGUAUCCAUCAAAGUUAAACAUAGAGGUGUCUGUAUGAAUUACGAAGUAAGAGCGUAACCUCGAUAAGAAUAAUAUGAAUAUUGGAAAUGAAUAAAAAGGAAUGUUAUUAAUAGGAUGUUGAAAUUGUUUUAAGUAAACAAAAUGGUAUAUUAUACGUGACAUAUAGUAUUGGAAUGAUGAAUAAACCGCUGGCUAAGAAGCGCGAUGGAAACUAGCAAUAUUUAGUGGAAGUGACACUAAUAAGAACUCUGGUGCGAGUUCUUGAAGCUAGAAGGUCGUCAUUAGAUGGGCUCGUGGUCUUGGCGAUGGGCCGGAAAAGAAAAGAUAAUUAAUGUUAGAUGAAAGUGAGAAAGGUUUCGGGGACGAAACCUUCUUUAAGGGGGGUAGACUUGUAACACCCCAAAUUUCGUAUGACAUAAUAUAAUGUUUUAAUCGCAGUAUUUGACGAAAAGAAAUGGUAAACAUAGAUUUUUACCAUUAGUAAAGUCUUAUAAAUUUUAGUAAAUCUAAAAUUCUUAGGUAUGCAUGAAGGUUUGCUAGGUUAGUAUGUAGAAAAGGGGGAAGAUGACAUGUUAUGAAUAAAUGAGGGGUUGAAAAUGAAAAAUGUGUUAUUAAAACACAUAACAAAAAAAUGCCCAGGGAAUGGAAGUGGGUGUGUGUGCGAUCGUGAGGAGAGACCAGGGGAAACCUUCCCCUCAAAACCCUAACACCUCUCAAAUCAUCAAAUUAAGAAGAAAAUUGAAGGUCAAUCGAAUGCAUGUGAUCAAUUCCUUAGUCAUCUAAGGGUUUCCCAUCAUGGGGAGCGUGAUCUUGAUGAAAAGAUAGUAUAGGAAUCAUGUCAAGACGGACUCAAGCAUAAAAGGAUAACGGGUCAAGAAAAGGCGAGGAAUCGGAUACGAGCACGGACGCAUAAGGUAAGUGAUUUCCGUAAUCACUUCUUAAUUCAAGUAAGUAAUUAAGUGUUGUGAUUAAUUAAACAUGAUGUUUGAGGUCAAAUAUGUGUUAAAGUCUUUCGUCGUAAACGAUGGAUUAAAGUUGACCAAAAUGCCCUCGAUGGGUAUUUUGGGGUAAACGAUCUUAAAAAUAGUUUAGAAACAACUUAUUCGAUGAGUGUAAUGUUUUGGACAAGUAUGGAUGUGGGGAUGAUGGUUUGGUUAGUCAUAGACCAAUUAAUACGCGAAUACCCUUAACGGGUCAAAAUAAGUAUAUGAACGAUAAUGUGUUAAGAGGAUGUAAGACAUCCAAGAAUUUGGUAAUUUAUGAUAGACGUCACUGAUAUUAUUAUGUUUAUAAGAGGUUAUGGUAAAACAAACAGAUUAUGUUGAUUAAUGCACGAACGGGUCAAAUAAUUAGAAGAUAAUAAUAAGCCGAAUGCAGGUAAGUUAAGAAUUUCCUUAAUCCAUAUGUGGGAUUUUAAGUUCAUAUGAUAGAAUGUGAAUUUACAAGCAUGUAGGAAGAAACGUGAGGUUAAACGGACAAUCGGGUUAAAAGUUAUGCGAGUUUUAGUGGGCGUGUUGUAUCUGCACCCGGAGUAUGGAACGCCGGGUUUGGGAGUAUGGAACGCCGGGCAGAAACCUAAACGCCCAUACUUCACUGUCAAACGCUGGUUCCAUGUUAAAGUGAACGUCGGGGUGUUCCAAACAAGCCUAGAUCACUAUAAAGCUAAGUCUAAGACCCAUGUAAAUAAUGUAUGAUUAUGUAAGAGGUACGCGCGAUCUAGUACGUGUUCGUUAAGGUAUGUACGAGUGUAUGCAUGUAUGUAAAGAUGUAGGAAAGGUAUGUACGUAUGUAGAUGUGUAUGUAUGUAUGUAUAAAGGUAUGUACGAGUGUAUGCAUGUAUGUAAAGAUGUAGGAAAGGUAUGUAUGUAUGUAUGUAUGUAUGUAUGUAAUUGUGUAAAUGCCCCGUACUGCGCUUUGAUGACUUAAAAGUGCAGAAAUUGGUAUAAACGGGUCAAAACAGCAAAGUAGGAAAGAUAUGCAGAAGCUACCGUAAAUUACGGUACCACCGUAAUUUACGGUGGAGGGUAAAUCUUUACGGUGGUUCUUUACUGAUUUACGGUAGAACCAUAAACGUCCAGCGCCCACCGUAAAUUACGGUGACCACCGUAAUUUACGGUGGAGCCCAGCCAAAAUUGCCAAGUUUUGUAUAAUUUCAUAUUUUGAAUCCGUUUUAAGCGUAUACUUAAUUAUGUGAAAAUUGAAGGAUUCUAACAUUAUUAUCUUGUUAAAUUUGUAUGUAUGUAGAUGUGAAUGUAUGUUUGUAUGUAAGUACGUAUGUAAGCAUGAUUUAGACACGUUGAGUGUUAACGUUUUAAUGGUGUACCUUGAGAAUGAAAAGUAAUGCAGGUACAUUACUGAAGCCUCACCAGGAAAUGGAUACGCAGAUGAAAUGCUUAAAGUUUGAAAAAUGACGAAUAGUGAAGUGUACGUGAAUGAAUCUUGUUUAUAUAAUGUGUGCUAAUGUAUGAAUGAAUGUGGUGAGUGCAGGUUGUACGAAUCACGGAUUAACCUCACAAGGAGUAGCGAUUGAAGACCGAGUCACAAGAUAGAUUGUACGGGAAUGUUUACAUAUGUAAUUUAGUGAUGAUAAGUUAUGUUUUUAUAUUUUAAAGUGGACUUUCAAGUAAGACAAAACGUUUAUAAUGAAUGAAAUUUUAGGGUACGUAUUUCCGCUGCGA